GUGCUCACUUCGGCAACACAUAUACUAGAAUUGGAAGGAUAGGGAGAUUAGCAUGGCCCCAGCGCAAGGAUGACAUGCAAAUUCGCGAAGCAUUUCAUAUAUAU